GAAAUGUCCAUGGGCGCAGCCUGACGACGCAACGCCGCGUGGAGGAUGAAGAUCUUCGGGUCGUAAACUCCUUUCGAUCGAGACGAAUGGUCUCCGGGUGAACAAUCCGGAGGAAUGACGGUACCGAGAGAAGAAGCCCCGGCUAACUCCGUGCCAGCAGCCGCGGUAAUACGGGGGGGGCAAGCGUUGUUCGGAAUUACUGGGCGUAAAGGGCUCGUAGGCGGCCAACUAAGUCAGACGUGAAAUCCCUCGGCUUAACCGGGGAACUGCGUCUGAUACUGGAUGGCUUGAGUGUGGGAGAGGGAUGCGGAAUUCCAGGUGUAGCGGUGAAAUGCGUAGAUAUCUGGAGGAACACCGGUGGCGAAGGCGGCAUCCUGGACCAUUACUGACGCUGAGGAGCGAAAGCCAGGGGAGCAAACGGGAUUAGAUACCCCGGUAGUCCUGGCCCUAAACGAUGAAUGCUUGGUGUGACGGGUAUCGAUCCCUGUCGUGCCGAAGCUAACGCAUUAAGCAUUCCGCCUGGGGAGUACGGUCGCAAGGCUGAAACUCAAAGAAAUUGACGGA
rnacentral:rRNA from 1 species